GAUAUGAAGGUAUUCAGUAUUAUUAAAGGAGUAAAGGCUAAAUAAAUCAAGCACAAAGGACUAAACUGUAACUCAAAUUUCAGUUGUCAGUUCUUUACAGGUAUAGACACUAAUUUUACUGUAUAUCAAAGAAACCAAUCCCAGCUGUGUCCUGGUACCUCACACUUCCUCAGGAGGCUGAGAGCUAAGGAUCACAGUUGAAGGCUAACCCAGGCAGGAAAGUCUAUGAGACUGUUAUCUACAAUUAACUACCAAAAAAAACAGAAGUGGAGCUAUGGCUCAAGUAGUAGAGUAUGAGACUUGACCAAAAAGCUUGGGGACAGCACCCAGGUCAUUUAAAAAGGUCCCAUAACUCAGCACUGCUAAAUUCUUACUAUACAGCCUUGAACUUUAUGCUCCAGAAGCCUCAAAUUUAAAUUAAGUCACACUUGCCUCUUAAAGCUGUUGUUUUUAAUUCUUGGGGGCUGGGAG